rnacentral:rRNA from 1 species
AAUAAACGACUCUCGGCAACGGAUAUCUCGGCUCUCGCAUCGAUGAAGAACGUAGCGAAAUGCGAUACUUGGUGUGAAUUGCAGAAUCCCGUGAACCAUCGAGUUUUUGAACGCAAGUUGCGCCCGAAGCYUYYGGCUGAGGGCACGUCUGCCUG